UGAGGAGUGAGGAGGCACAGGCCGGUUUCUUUAUCGUUGGCUUGUUCUAAACCGAACCAAACCAUAUUUUAUUAGUUUUUAGCUGUGUUCAAAAACGCGGCCGAGUUGCCGAGUAAUCGGCCGAGUAGGCGCUAGGCGUCACCUUAGCGUGGAGAAAACACUCAAUUCGGCUAGUCUAGGCGGUCAACGAGUUAUUCCCGCGUUUGACCGAACAAUUAAAAAAUCACCGUAUAAUUGUGUAAUCCGAGUAGACCCAAUUGGCCAAUUCUCCAUAUUUAUCUAUAACAAAACACGAAGUCCAUACUUUUUUUUCCUAUUUCCAAGUGCUCUGAUCUUUUCUUUAAUUAUACUAAGUUGAGUUUGAGAUUUUAUUUGUGGAAGAAACCCUAAUAUCACGAUCUCUGAGUUUCAACCCAAGAGCAAAUCGAGUGUUCAAAUCUAAGACCAAAUCAGGAAUCAAUGGAUGAUCCACCGACAGAUAGGCCUCCACCUCUUAAGCGUAACUCAAAUGAUGUAGGAUGGCAGUAUGGAGUCUUGUGUGAUUCAAGAAGUCUAGACAAAGUUAAGUGUAAAUUGUGUGGAAAAGAGUUUUCUGGUGGUGUGUUUAGAAUGAAAGAACAGAGAUAAAUGAGGAACGUGAUGUUUUGUUUUCAAGUCAUGUUUUUGUUUUUGUUUGUUUUUGCUUUCAAAGUCAAGCUGACAUCGUUUUCUUUUUGUUUGCAGGUGUAAUGUACAAGAUAUAACUUCUAACACAUCUCUCUACUACACGGUGAUAACUUGAUCUUUGAAGAUUAGAACUUACUUUUUGUAUAUUCUUAAGAUCAAGACAAUCUUUUUUUGGUGUAUCUCGUGUAUAGAAAUUAGCUUUUGUAUUUUGAACUAGAUGUGUAUUAGAAGAAAUUUCAAUAUAUUUUGGAGUAUAAGCUUUGUGUUAUAAAUUUA